AGGCAGUGAUAUCAUAUUUAUACCAUCAAACUUUGAAAGCCUUGUUAAUGAGGUUUGUUGAUGCAAACAAAACAUAAUUUCUGAGCCU
rnacentral:snoRNA from 1 species